AACGGAGCGAAAGCGACGUUCAACCGCAAAAGAAGCAGAGGGGGCUUAGUGGUGGGGUGACUGCGUACCUUUUGUAUAAUGGGUCAGCGACUUAUAUUCUGUAGCAAGGUUAACCGAAUAGGGGAGCCGGAGGGAAACCGAGUCUUAACCGGGCGUUAAGUUGCAGGGUAUAGACCCGAAACCCGGUGAUCUAGCCAUGGGCAGGUUGAAGGUUGGGUAACACUAACUGGAGGACCGAACCGACUAAUGUUGAAAAAUUAGCGGAUGACCUGUGGCUGGGGGUGAAAGGCCAAUCAAACCGGGAGAUAGCUGGUUCUCCCCGAAAGCUAUUUAGGUAGCGCCUCGUGAAUUCAUCUCCGGGGGUAGAGCACUGUUUCGGCUAGGGGGCCAUCCCGGCUUACCAACCCGAUGCAAACUGCGAAUACCGGAGAAUGUUAUCACGGGAGACACACGGCGGGUGCUAACGUCCGUCGUGAAGAGGGAAACAACCCAGACCGCCAGCUAAGGUCCCAAAGUCAUGGUUAAGUGGGAAACGAUGUGGGAAGGCCCAGACAGCCAGGAUGUUGGCUUAGAAGCAGCCAUCAUUUAAAGAAAGCGUAAUAGCUCACUGGUCGAGUCGGCCUGCGCGGAAGAUGUAACGGGGCUAAACCAU
rnacentral:rRNA from 1 species